UUUGUAAAAUUCAAUUGAAUUCUAGUUGAAAUUCAUUUGAAAUAAAUUAUAUUGAUCGGUAUGAAUUGAAUUUGUUUGGUAGAAAUUGAAAAUAGAAUAUAGGAAGUUUUAGUUUUUGAUAAGGGUAUUUUAGUUUUUGUAAGUUUUGUGGAGUUCCAUUAUUAAAUUUGAUGUAAUAGAAUUGAACCAAACAAGCUCUUAACCAAUUCAAUUGAAUUCCACAAAAAUUUAUGAAAUGGGAUUAUUUUAGAUCAUUUUCGCUGUUGACUACAUGGUUUUCUCUCUCUCUCUGCCUCCCCUGAAUUUUGGAUGAGGGGUCAUGAUUCAUGUUUUGGACUUAUGUUUUUGAGGUUUUCUAUUUUUUGCUUUGAAAUUUAUGGAUCUCUUAGACUGGGAUUUUUAGGAUUAUUGUGUGAUGAGGUAGAUCAGACUGAAACCUACAUUUUUGCUUGAAUAUGAUAGCUAAUCUGUUUUAUUUAUUAGUCUUUCGUUUUAGAUCAGGUUUAUUAGAAUUAAAGAGGUGUGUUUUCUUAAGGUGGUAGCUGUUUUACAGUAGUUGGGGGGUUCUUAAAUGGUUUAUUGAUAUGAUUCUGUUUUCUGUUCUAGUUUUUGUAUCUUAUGAUGGAGAUUUAGAUAAGAUCGGCCUAGUAGUUCUCUGAAAGUUCUGGUUUUUUAGUUAAUGGAUGAAAUAAAAUAUACUGAAGUUGCAUGAUUAUCAUUUUAGACAUGCCUGAUCGAAAAAUAUAGAGGUUAUUUUCUAAUCAGUUUAAAGAUGCAAAAACCAGAAUUUUGAGGUUUUAUAUUAGAUAAUUAAUCGUUGGUAAUAUGUCAUGGUGUUUCUAGUUUCCUAAUUUUAGAUCUUGA
rnacentral:misc_RNA from 1 species